rnacentral:lncRNA from 1 species
AUGCUUUCAUGAAGUGCAACACAUCACAACUAUAGCACAACAAACAUCUCACUCCCGCUUGAGUUCACGCUAGCAAAUCUCUUCCUCUUGCGGGUGAUUUUAGAGGGUUCACGAAACGUCCUUCCCCUCAGGGUUAGACAUGACCCCAACGUUCCCUCUGUCAAAACUUGGCCCCGAAGGAGCUCUCAUGGGGCUUUCCUACAUGUACUCGCCCGAUUGACAAAGACUCAUUGACAGACUUGCGGGCUAUUGA